GUGUUUUUCAGUAAGUUGCUCUUUCUGAACACAAAUGAUGGGGGAUUUCCUUUACGCCUUUCUACCAGGGUCACUUACUUGUCCCAUCUUCCUCCACCACUCUCCCUUGGUUUAUGCGUCUCUUUCAUCUUGCUGUUCCUGAGUUGUGUCCUUCAUAAUCAGCUGGCAAACAAGUAAAAUGUUUUACUAAGGGUUUCUGCUUUGCAUGAAUGAGUUUCAGAAUACUACUUAAGAAAAAAGAAAGAGAACAACAGUAUCUGUUGAGGUCUUGCUGUCACCAAGCCAAACUUGAUCACCCAUCUGGAGCAAAAAAAGAGCUCUGGAAUGUGAAGAGACAGGAAACAGUAGCCAAAUACCCAGACUGGACUGCUUUCAGGACUUUGAUUUGCAGGGCCAGCAGCAGUUGGGUUAACAUCUGGUGAACCUAAUAUGAGCUGUGUGGGUUUUUAAGGACUCGCCACACUGUCUUCCACAAUGGUUGAACUAAUUUACACUCCCACCAGCAGUGUAAAAGUGUUCCUAUUUCUCCACAUCCUCUCCAGCAUCUGUUGUCUCCAGAUUUUUUAAUGAUCAUCAUUCUAACUGGAGGGAAGCAAAACACACUGCCAUGUGUGUACCAAUGCAACUAUUUUACAUGUUCUGCACAUGUACCCCAAAACCUAAAACACAAUAAAAAAUAAAAAAUUUUUAAAAAGUAUUUAUGAAUGAUAUUAAUGCAUUUUCUAUGAAAUGGUAUUGCUUUAAUUGUACACUAAUGAUUCAAACUUCAUGGGCUUCAAUAGCAAAGACAUGGAAUCGACGUAGGUGCCAAUAGUUGUUGAUUGGAUAAAGAAAAUGUGGUAUCUAUACACAUAGAUACCACAUAUCUUUGAAAUACUACAUAGACAUAAAAACAGGACAAAAUUAUGUUCUUUGUAGCAAAGUUGAUGCAGCUGAAGGCCAUUAUCUUAAGUAAAUUAAUGCAGAAACAGAAAACCAAAUUAUGCAUAUUCUUAUAAGUGAGAGCUAAAUACUGGGCAUACAUAAAUAUAAAGAAGAAAACAAUAGCCACUAGGGACCACUAGAGGAGGAAGGAAGAGAAGGAGCCAAGGACCAAAAGGCAACCUAUUGGGUACUGUGCUCACUACCUGAGUAGUAGUAGUACCCCAAAACUUAGAAGUACAUAAUACAGCUAUGUAGCAAACCUACACAUGUAGCCUCUGAAUCUAAAGUAAAGUUGAAAUAAGAAAAGCCACCAAAAUAUGUGCUCUUUAUGAAUGUGCAGUCAUGGUUGAAAGCAGUAGC